rnacentral:sRNA from 1 species
CUGUCAAUGGUACCGGAGCAAGCGCAGCUUGUGAGGAUAAGGAAUUGACAGCAUUACC